rnacentral:rRNA from 1 species
GACAGAGGGUGCAAGCGUUAUUCGGAAUUAUUGGGCGUAAAGCGCACGUCGGCGUAUCUUUACGUCAGGGGUGAAAUCCUGGAGCUCAACUCCAGAACUGCCUUUGAUACUGGGGAUCUCGAGUCCGGAAGAGGUGAGUGGAACUCCGAGUGUAGAGGUGAAAUUCGUAGAUAUUCGGAAGAACACCAGUGGCGAAGGCGGCUCACUGGUCCGGUACUGACGCUGAGGUGCGAAAGCGUGGGGAGCAAACAGG